ensembl:lncRNA
CCACGGUCAAGGGAAGAAGGAUGGAAGAAUUUUGAUUCAGGGCAUGUGGUGGUACCAAAAACGCACCACCACAUGCAAAAUAUUAUUUUACCCACCAAAAAAGUAUCACCACAUGCCCCGAAUCACGUUCUUCCAUCCUCUUCCUUGUUGGUGGCCUCUUAUCACCUUCAUAAGUGGGUUAGUCCCGCACACUAACUCCAUGGGAACCGGGACUUUUUGACGAAGAGCUCGGUUGAACCGCAAAGAGGAGGAAGAUUUGUGACAGCGCACAAGGAAGGACACGGCUGCUCGUUACACGACAGUUCGUGUGGGUAGACCGUGCUUGUCGGCAGUGUGGCGAACCGAACCGCAGCCUCUUCUACAGUUGUUUUUUUGACGGAGAAUGUAUCAUACUCACCUCUACUCAAUGAACCUACCUUGAGCUCAUUAUUUUGUUGUGGUUUUCGGCGUCAAAGCGACAGAGAUGGAAAGCAAGUUAGCCAGCACUACUCCAUCUUCCUCUUCAUUUGAUAUGCAGCUACUGACAUAACCAGUGCAGCGGAAGAUGGACAUCCAGAGUGGCAUACAAAAGGCAGUGGAGCCCCUCCCUACCUCUCUCCCCUCCUCCCCUCAACAGUCGGGUGCCCAUCAGCAGAGCGAGCCGGAGGACAGCCAGGCAGAGCAGAGCGCCAGGCCCACCGCUGACAACCACAGCAAGGACACCCAGCCAGCCGCCGGCCACCGAGACGACAAAAAAUAUUUCAGUGUGGAGUCGAUUGAUGGGACUAUGUUUCAUGAAGCCAUUAGAAGACUGUUGCUGACUGAGAGGAGGUGGAUUUCUUCCAAAGCGGAGGACAGAGGGGGCCGAGUCUGUGAAUGAAGAGAGAGCCUGGAACGUGUUUGUCGGGAGAGUUCAACUGCGGAGCUUUGGGUUCAAAUCGAAUGACAUCGGGAAAUCAGAGCCUUGUGUUACAUGGAGGAAUUAGAUCUCUGUGUUUUAUGUUAUUCUUGUCGAGGCUUUGCUUAAUACUCGUGGGGCAUUGCAUGCCGUCAGACACCUUGUGAGGCACUUACAGUGCCUUCAGAAAGUAUUCAUACCCGUUGACUUAUUUCAUAUUGUGUUACAGCCUAAAUUCAAAAUGGAUGAAAAAAAAAAUUCUCACCCAUCUUCACACAAUACCCUGUAAUAACAAAGUGAAAACAUGUUUUUAGACAUUUUUGCAAAUGUAUUGAAAAUGAAAUACAUAAAUUAGUGUGCACACCCCUGAGUCAAUGUGUCACACCCUGACCAUAGUUUGCUUUGUAUGUUCUAUGUUUUGUUUGGUCAGGGUGUGAUCUGAGUGGGCAUUCUAUGUUGUGUGUCUAGUUUGUCUGUUUCUGUGUUUGGCCUGAUAUGGUUCUCAAUCAGAGGCAGGUGUUAGUCAUUGUCUCUGAUUGGGAACCAUAUUUAGGUAGCCUGUUUGGUGUUGGGUUUUGUGGGUGAUUGUCUCCUGUGUCAGUGUUUGUGCCACACGGGACUGUUUUGGGUUUACACGUUUGUUGUUUUUGUAGUUUAUUCAUGUAUAGUUUUCUUAUUAAAAAACAAACAUGAAUUUCAACCAUGCUGUAUUUUGGUCCUCCUCUCCUUCAACAGAAGAAUCCUGUUACACAAUGUAUGUUUAGAAUCACCUUUGGCAGCGUUUACAGCUGUGAGUCUUUCUGGGUAAGUCUCUUAAGAGAUUUCCACACCUUGAUUGUGUAAAAUUUGCCCCAUUAUUCUUUUCAAAAUUCUUCCAGCUCUGUCAAAUCAUUGCUGGACAACAGUUGCAGUCAGUGGCGUUUGAGAUGGCGGAGGAUGAUUCAUUGUUUUAUGAGCAUGGCUGUAUUUCUAUUACAGCAUAUUGGAUGACUGUCGUUCAUAUUCUAUUCACCCAGCUCAAUGUAACGUUGAUAGGUUUAGGCUACUACAUGAUACUCACAUUUUCCCUGUAACCGUCAGGAGGAAUCGAGGUGACAGACCAUGUCACGGAUCCCUCCAGAACUGUCAUUACGCACACCUGGUCCCUAUUCCCAUUGAUUAGUAAUUGUGUAAGUGUUCACCAUUGUCCUGUCGCUUAUUGUUCCAAUAUCCGUUCGUCGUGCGAGUACCUGUGCUGUGUGUUUUGGCUUUCGUGCCAUUGUGGAUUGCAUAGAUGAUUUCGGGCCUCGUCCCGUGUGAUAUCAUUGUGCACUUGUAUGUUACGGGUCUCGCCCCGCUCUAUUUAUUCCAGGUACUCCUCAGUCUUUUCUUUGGGUUUCAACCCUGUGUUUUGUAUACGUGUUUGUUUGGUCUCCGUCCCGUGCUUUUACGCUGGAUCAAUAAAAAACCCUAUUACGCA